rnacentral:rRNA from 1 species
UACAGAGGGUGCGAGCGUUAAUCGGAAUUACUGGGCGUAAAGCGCGCGUAGGCGGCUUUUCAAGUCGGAUGUGAAAUCCCCGGGCUUAACCUGGGAACUGCCUUCGAUACUGGCGAUCUUGAGUCCGGAAGAGGUGAGUGGAACUCCUAGUGUAGAGGUGAAAUUCGUAGAUAUUCGGAAGAACACCAGUGGCGAAGGCGGCUCACUGGACUGGUAUUGACGCUGAGGUGCGAAAGCGUGGGGAGCAAACAGGG